rnacentral:rRNA from 1 species
UACGAAGGGGGCUAGCGUUGCUCGGAAUCACUGGGCGUAAAGCGCACGUAGGCGGAUUGCUAAGUCAGGGGUGAAAUCCUGGAGCUCAACUCCAGAACUGCCUUUGAUACUGAGGAGCUUGAGUCCGGGAGAGGUGAGUGGAACUGCGAGUGUAGAGGUGAAAUUCGUAGAUAUUCGCAAGAACACCAGUGGCGAAGGCGGCUCACUGGCCCAGUACUGACGCUGAGGUGCGAAAGCGUGGGGAGCAAACAGG